GAAGGGUGCAAGCGUUGCUCGGAAUUAUUGGGCGUAAAGGGUAGGUAGGUGGUCGUAAAAGUCUAUUGGUGAAAUCCCUAAGCUUAACUUAGGACGUGCCUUGGAAACUUUAUGACUAGAGUACUAGAGAGGUUCGUGGAAUUCCUGGUGUAGCGGUGAAAUGCGUAGAGAUCAGGAGGAACAUCAGCGGCGAAGGCGGCGAACUGGAUAGUAACUGACACUCAACUACGAAAGCGUGGGGAGCAAACAGGAUUAGAUACCCUGGUAGUCCACGCUGUAAACGAUCGGUACUAGGUUUCGUGGGAGUUGACCCCUGCGGAACCGGAGCUAACGCGAUAAGUACCGCGCCUGGGAAGUACGGUCGCAAGACUA
rnacentral:rRNA from 1 species